GGGGAAUUUUGGACAAUGGGCGAAAGCCUGAUCCAGCAAUGCCGCGUGAGUGAAGAAGGCCUUCGGGUUGUAAAGCUCUUUUGUCAGGGAAGAAACGGUGGGGGCUAAUAUCCCCUGCUAAUGACGGUACCUGAAGAAUAAGCACCGGCUAACUACGUGCCAGCAGCCGCGGUAAUACGUAGGGUGCGAGCGUUAAUCGGAAUUACUGGGCGUAAAGGGUGCGCAGGCGGUUGUGCAAGACAGGUGUGAAAUCCCCGGGCUUAACCUGGGAAUGGCACUUGUGACUGCACGGCUAGAGUGUGUCAGAGGGGGGUAGAAUUCCACGUGUAGCAGUGAAAUGCGUAGAUAUGUGGAGGAAUACCGAUGGCGAAGGCAGCCCCCUGGGAUAACACUGACGCUCAUGCACGAAAGCGUGGGGAGCAAAC
rnacentral:rRNA from 1 species